GGCCCAGCGGGAGGGGAUAUUUUCUGCAGGCAGGCAUAGAGUUGAGCCCAAGAAACAUGCUGAUGGAAUAAACACCCCAAUCAUUUUCGCCUCCUGGUGGACUUCCGAGGGCAAUGCAUCAAGAAGAAGAAGAAGAAGAAGAAGAAGAAGAAGAAGAAGAAGAAGAAGAAGAAGAAGAAGAAGAAGAAGAAGAAGAAGAAGAAGAAGAAGAAGAAGAAGAAGAAGAAGAAGAAGAAGAAGAAGAAUACUCCAGUUACCCGUAAGCCUGCUUCAAUGUACAAUAUUAUACGUAACCCUAGUCCAAAUUACUUAUAGUAUAUAUAGACAGUCAUCAAAAGUUUAAUUGCAGAACCACAAGCUUGUUGCGCUGACAGAAUGCGUCCACAAGGUGGUGCUGUGGUCUACAAACACCACACUUUUAGGUACCGGUGUUGCGCUGAUUUCUGUAUCCCCGUAGAAUUCUGUAUCCCCGCAUGAUUCCAUGCCUGUGCAGAUGCAGUUUUUCA